CGUUUUUUUUCAUUUGGAUUUUAUAUUUCGAAAAUUAAUCAAAUCUGGGCGCCAUAUUUAAACUGGUGUUAUUGAGCUCCGACUCGAGAAUAAAAUUUUCUUAAAGUGAUGGAUUAACUAUUUCUUUAGCACAAGUAAGUAAUUUUUUUAAUAGUUUUCGUGCUCAAGUUAUUUAAAAUGAUAUUUGGCCCGUUAAAUAUUUGACCUAGAAAGAAGAUUGAAGCAAUUUUGUUCCGACCUGAAAUCAUGUCGGAAAGUGCUAAAGGAAUUUAACGUAUCUCGAUAUGACUUCGCAUUCAAAAAAAAUAAAAAAUGAAAAUAUCAGUAUAAAAACGUUAAAAAUUGAAUAAGAAUGCGAAGUCAUAUGUUAUAGGACUACA
rnacentral:lncRNA from 1 species